rnacentral:rRNA from 1 species
AGUUAGUGGCGUAAGGGUGAGUAAUGGAUAGGUAACGUGCCCUGUGCUCCGGAAUAGCGUCGUUCGCCUUCGGGCGAGCGUCCGAAAGGGGCGGUAAUUCCGGAUAAUAUCAUUUGUCGAUGGGCGAAUGUUCAAGGAUUUAUCGGCACGGGAGCGGCCUAUCUCUUAUCAGCUUGUUGGUGGGGUAAUGGCCUACCAAGGCUGCGACGGGUAGCGGGACUGAGAGGUUGGCCCGCCACAUCGGGACUGAGACACUGCCCGGACCUCCACGGAGGGCUGCAGUAACGAAUCUUGCGCAAUGGGCGAAAGCCUGACGCAGCAACGCCGCGUGCGGGAGGAAGUCUUUCGGGAUGUAAACCGCUGUCGGGGGUAAGAAAGUUCACUUCGGUGAAUUGAUCGAACCCAAAGGAAGUCACGGCUAACUUCGUGCCAGCAGCCGCGGUAAGACGAAGGUGGCAAGCGUUGUUCGGUAUUACUGGGCUAAAGCGUGUGUAGGCGGAAAGGUAAGCGUCUUGUGAAAGUCCUCGGCUUAACCGAGGAAUUGCUGGGCGAACUGUCUUUCUUGAGGCAAGUAGGGGUGUACGGAACUCUUGGUGGAGCGGUGGAAUGCGUAGAUAUCAAGAGGAACGCCGAUGGAGAAAUCAGUACACUGGGCUUGACCUGACGCUGAGACACGAAAGCGUGGGGAGCGAACGGGAUUAGAUACCCCGGUAGUCCACGCCGU